rnacentral:misc_RNA from 1 species
UUUGAGUUGGCCAGAUUGGUACUGCAAGGUUGCCUCCAACAUAGAUUCUGCCAUAACUGCUCUCUUCUCCAUUUCAGCAAGUGCGCUAGUAGCUUGUUCAUACUUUUCCUGAAGCAUUUGAGCUGCGUAUCUUUGUGCUGCAGAGUCUUGCUCAGCAAACCUUCGAGCAUCUUCAGUGAGUCUUUGCUCUUGUUCCACCCGCAUCAAGA